GUAUCCAUUGUUCCUGUGAGGGACCUCUCUGGUGGGCUCCUGGGAAGCGGGAGGACCAAGCCAGCUCCACCUGCCCCUCAUCGUCUGGGAAGAGGAUUAAUAAUUGGUUAUGCAGAUGGGAUGCAGCCUCCAUAAAAAUCCCUGAAUUCCUGGGUUUGAGAGCUUCCGGACAGCUGAACACACAGAAGUCUCUGGAGGGGAACCCCGAGGAUGGACCCUGUCCAGGGCCCUCUCCACUGUGUCCCUUGUUGUAUCCUUUAUGACAAAUGACUGUACUAUGUAGAGUGUGCUCCUGCAUUCUGCUUUAACAGAUUAACAAUGUCGAUGAGGGACAGUAGGAACCCCUAGUCUGUAGCCUGUCAGUCAGAAGUUCCAGAGGCCUGCACUCGCAGGUGGCAUCGCAAGAGGGGACAAUAUGGCUGAGCCCUGUGACGCUGUCUCCAAGUGGACAGGGUCAGAAUCGAGUUGAGCACACACUUGGUGCUGAAGGCUGGAGGGCUGGCUGUGAAUGGGAGAAAACCUCACCCACGCUUGGAUCUGGGAAGUGUGUUGUGUGGUCUUCACAGUAAGACUAUUUUCUAGCUGGAGUUAGCUCAGCUGACCCCAUCUGCCUGGGUGACUUUCACAAACUUAUUGAGUGAAAGGUGCUAAAUACAUGACUAAAUGUAUGUGAAGUUCAAGAAUAAGCAGACUGGCAGAGCUGGAACUUUGUCAAGCAGCAAUGGAGGUCCGUUGGGCUUCGCCACAGUUCUGCAUGACCUAAAAUCCCUCCACACUUGGAUUUCAUGAUGUUUUAUGGAAUGUGCAGUGACCUUGUUUUCCACGUUUCGAACCAGAAAAUCUUUGGACUCAUGGGAACAUGGGUUUGGAGCCAGACAGACAGCCUGACAACAGGGCUGUGGAAGAACUCAAGGCCGGUGCUGGUCCAGGGAGGUAACCCCACUGCUUGGUCCUUGGCAGAAGGGCUGCAGGCAUCCCUAGGGUUAGGAAGAGCCAUGCUCCAGUCCCCAUCUGCCCAGUAUACGAUGCAGGCCUGAGAAAAAAGACGCUAAGAGACAGAACUAGAAGGGAAAGUGGGGGCCAGGAUGGCCAAUGCCGGUACAGCUGACAAAGAUGCUGGCCAGUCCCAGGCACUGAGUUUUACUGGCAAUCAGUUGAGUUAAAGGCGAGCUACAAAUAGUCUCUAUGGAAAUUAAUGUAAAAAAGGCUCAUAAAGGACAAGACAAACCAUUCUCGAAUUUAGGAACAUAAUAGACAAAAUAUAUGGUUGCAAUUAGAACAUUGUCCUUCUAGUCAGAAGGGUUUAGUUGUGGGAACGGAAUUUGGGUGUGAGUUACUCUGACCUCAGCACGUAGGCUUCAGCCAGACUCACUUCUAUAAACAAGCCAGCUGUGGGGUUAACUCUUCACAGCCUGCUUUGGGAAUAAUCAAUUUUAUGGUCCUCUGCACUCCAGGAGUGUUAGUUGUGCACAGGCUUAUCUUCUCACUGCUCUGAUAUGCACAUGAAGAUAGGUUUCAAGGCAAAAAGCUUUCCAUGAGGCUUAGCUGAAUAUUUUGAAGAGCAAAUCAAGACUCAGUCAGGUGUGUGAUGAUACAUGGAUAGGGCUACCAGCAGGGAAACUGACAGCCAGGAAGGCAGGAGCUCCCAUCAACGAAGCUCUCUAGAAUCCACAAGCUAAUGAAGUCAAGGCCAAUUGUCAGUUAGUCAGCAGGCAUAUCACCGCCAGCAUCCAGGGCAGUGGGUGCAACCACAGGUGACUGCUAAUGGGCAAAUUAGGGAACUUCACGGGCAGCAGUUCACAGAACUAGAUGGCAGGGAGACAGGGCUGCUGGAUCAAGGAGGUCCUGGGCACAGGGGUCCACAUGUGGGAUUUCUGGUGCAACUGAGAAACCCAAGGAGCCGGCUUCCUCUAGCUGCCAACUGCAGCAGCACGGUGCGUUCAUGAGCACACGGGCAUUCUUGUUUGCAGUGGCAUCACUGGUUGCUCUUGCCCUGUUUUCCUCACGCACCAGAGGAAGCACAGGGCCGAGGCUGGGCCAGAUGGUGCCACUUGUACAGGCUGGAGUUCCUCGUAGGACCACCUGCUUACCUUCAUGCUGCCCGACCCCACUGCAGCCCUGGGAACCCUCUGCUCCAUGAACUGACUUGACUCCACUCGGUAAAAAUCUACCCUCAGGAGCUGUAACAGGGUGAGGGCCUAAGGCACCUGGGCUCAACUUUUCUCCCAUGAAUUAUACUUCCUGCCACAGAAAUCUGGAAGCUGCGAUACACACAGACGUCAGCCUUCUAACUUAGCCUGGCCGGCACGGAAAUGAAGUCCUAGGUCCCCCACCUUGAGGACACCCGACUCCAUGGGAACUCCACCCCAGACCAAGAUGCAUCUCUGUCCCAAGGCUUGUCCUCCAUUCUCUGAGAGGGGACUGUUUUAAUUUUGCCUAAUAAACCUCUUCACUCCUCUUGCUGAUGAAUCUUGAAAAUACUUUUUCUGCGAUGGAAGUCAGCGAACUUUCAACCUGUUGCAUGGGUGUGAAUGCUGCUGAUCGAGGGGACCUGUCUCUGGGCCGACGAACCUGCCCUCACCAGCAUGGCGCAGUCGCAGCUGAAGAGAAGAAGUGGCGCCACGGGCAUCCACACACUCGCAGAGUGCACACCGUGGGCCAAGCCGAGAGGUGCCUCAGUGCUAACAGAAUUCUGCACAGGGUUAGAUGCGAGCCUUACCAACAGCUAGAAACCAUACACUAUGACACGGAUUACCUUUUUAGCUAUUUUAUUUUAUUAUUAUUAUUUUUUUGAGAUGGGGUCUUGCUACAUAGCCCAGGCUGGCUUUGAACUCACGGAGAUCCUCCUACCUCCCUAGUCUUGGGAUUCUAAGUGUGCAUUACACACCUGGCUCUUUUUAGUCUAUUUUAACUCUUGAUCAGUAAGCUUAUAAAACUGUGUUUCAACCAGCUUUGAACCAUCAUAUACCAUAAUUUUUUAUCUGAAUGAAAUUAUUAAGGCAGAUAUUCAUAAUAUAAUUAAACAGAAACACUAUGAA